rnacentral:rRNA from 1 species
AUUGAACGCUGGCGGCAUGCUUUACACAUGCAAGUCGAACGGCAGCGCGGGGCAACCUGGCGGCGCGUGGCGAACGGGUGAGUAAGAUAUCGGAACGUACCCAGAAGUGGGGGAUAACGUAGCGAAAGUUAAGCUAAUACCGCAUACGAUCUACGGAUGAGAGGAGUGGACCGCAAGGCCUUAUGCUUUUGGAGCGGCCGAUAUCGGAUGAGCUAGUUGGUGAGGUAAAGGCUCACCAAGGCCACGAGCAGUACCUGGUCUGAGAGGACGACCAGCCACACUGGAACGGAGACACGGUCCAGACUCCUACGGGAGGCAGCAGUGGGGAAUGUUGGACAAUGGGCGCAAGCCUGAUCCAGCAAUGCCGCGUGAGUGAAGAAGGCCUUCGGGUUGUAAAGCUCUUUUGUCAGGGAAGAAACGCUAGAGGCUAAUAUCCUGCGCUAAUGACGGUACCUGAAGAAUAAGCACCGGCUAACUACGUG